GCUGAAAGAGAAGAGAGGGGCCCAGAGGGUUACAGCCACCAGGGGAGGAGGGGAUGGGGUCAGUCAAACAUGAGUUCCAUGAGCACAGCCAGCACUGCCUUGGGCAGUGGCAGUGCUCCUCACAGGCUGUGGGGCAGAGCAGGUGAGCCCCCAAGGAUUUCCCCUGCAGGGUGCCCCACAGAGAGAAAUAGCUCACCUAAGCUGCAGGAAGUGCGUGGCUAUGCUCUGUUUCUCUGCCCUGCAGAGACAGAAAUAGCUCACCUUAGCUGCAGGAAGCACACGGCUAUGUUCAGCGUCUCCUACCUUUGCCCAGCUCCAGGGUGCAGUGGGCAGAACUUGGCCAUGGAUCAAUAUGGUCAAAGGUUGAGGAACAUUAAACACAUCUCAUUGCAGCUUCCUGCACAGCCCUGGGGCUCUGCAUCCACCAGGAUCAUGGACGCAGGAGAAGCAUUGCCAUGGCACAGGGGAAAGCUGCGGGCUGCAAUCCAUGAUCUUGCUCUGAGCUAUGCCCAAGCCCAUCUUCCUCUUCUGGGAGGCUCUGGGGAUGAGCAGAGCUUUGUGGAGAGGUGGGAGAUGCUUCACCAGGAGGGGGUAACUUGGUGCAGUUUGGAUUUUGUAUGUUUUUUUAUGUUCUUGUUUUUGUGAAUUUUUUGUCUAUUGACGUGUUUUCUUCCUUCUGAGCUUCCUGGAGGGAGCCUUGUUCUGCUGGGAAAGCCACACAUGGCGAGAAGGUUCAGCUUGUUAUCUGGUAGAGCCCACACUGCUUUGGUGGAACAUGGAUGAGGACUCAGCCUGUUCCAUGGAACCAACGCCCCAACAACUGAUAACAAUCAAUGAUUGAUUACCAUCAGCAGAUGUGCUUUAUUAUAUUACAAGAGGGUAUGGUGUUAACACCCAAAGCAGUUUUCUACCUCUCCUUCUGUGUGUAUGUUUAUAUUUCCAAAAACAUUACAUACUCAUUCGAUUUCCACAAACCCUGAUACAUAGUCAUACUAUUUCCCAAAAUGUCCAUCUCUUUUCCAGGGUCUCUGUCUUCCACCCAUGUUUUUUCCUUCCUAUGGUUUCUUUCAACUGUAUGGCAGUUAGAGGUCAUGCAUCUUCAGUGUGGUGGUCCCUCAGGAAG